rnacentral:rRNA from 1 species
AUGAGCAUUGUGAGGACACUAGUUUCUUGUGCUGUGAAUUUUGAAUGGGCACUUCAUCAAUUGGAUGUGAAAAAUGCAUUCCUCCAUGGGGACCUACAUGAGGAGGUCUAUAUGGAGAUACCACCUGGAUUCGGAAAUAGUCAAACAGAUGGAAAGGUAUGCAAGCUUAAGAAAUCUUUAUAUGGUCUGAAUCAAUCUCCCCGGGCAUGGUUUGAUAGAUUCAAACGCGUGGUUGUUGGGAUGGGAUACUCCCAGUGCAAUGGAGACCAUACGGUCUUCUACAUGGAUAGGCAGAAACACAUAACUAUUCUAGCAGUGUAUGUUGAUGAUAUAGUGAUAACUGGUGAUGACGCAAAAGAAAUCAAGGACCUAAAGGAGAGACUGGGAAAUGCAUUUGAGGUCAAAGAUCUUGGACCACUUCGGUAUUUUCUUGGGGUUGAGAUUGCUCGCUCAUCCAAGGGAGUAAUUCUGACCCAAAGGAAAUAUGUUCUUGAUCUGCUGAAUGAGACAGGGAUGUUGGGAUGUCGUCCUAUUGCCUCACCUAUGGAUAGGAACCACAAAAUAAGUGCUCUGUCAGGUGAUCCUGUCAACAAGGAGAGGUAUCAAAGGCUAGUGGGGCGUCUAAUCUACCUCUGUCACACAAGACCUGAUAUAUCAUAUGAAGUGAGUGUGGUGAGCCGGUAUAUGCAUGAUCCAAGGGUUGGGCACAUGGAAGCCGUUUACCGUAUCCUAAGGUACUUGAAAGGAAGUCUAGGAAAGGGACUAUGGUUCAAACUAAACCAACACCUUGAUGUGGAAGGGUACUGUGAUGCUGAUUGGGCAAGCAACAUAGAUGACAGAAGAUCCACAUCAGGCUAUUGCAUAUUUGUGGGAGGUAAUCUUGUGUCAUGGAGGAGCAAGAAGCAAGAUGUUGUAGCAAGGUCUACCGUAGAGGCUGAAUAUAGAGCUAUGGCUGUAAGCAUGAGUGAGAUGAUUUGGAUGCGGAGCCUGCUGUCAGAGCUUCGAGUAUUAAGAAACAACACAAUGGUGUUGCAUUGUGAUAACAAGUUUGCAAUAAACAUUGCUAACAACCCUGUUCAGCAUGAACGCACCAAACACAUCGAAAUUGAUAGAUUCUUCAUGAAGGAGAAGAUAGAUGGUGGAAUGUUAAAGCUAGGUUAUGUAAAAUCUGAUGAGCAGUUAGCAGAUUGUCUAACUAAAGGGUUAGGACCUAGUGAUGGUGUUGUAAUCUGUAGCAAGAUGGGCAUGGUUGACAUCUUUAGCCCAUCUUGA